UCGAGACUUGAGUAGCCUUCUGGGCCACGAAAAGCCACCAGACAAAACAACACAUGCAAUGUUUUUUAUUUGUCUAUAAACCGUUGACGAUUGGCCAUCGUUUGAAGAUCACUGCUUCCCUAACUCCUGAGUUUCUUCUACGCUCCACUAAACUCCUUUCCUAGCUGUGCGUGCCACAUUCUCUUCUCCCUUCAUCACUGCUUCUCUAACUCCUGAGUUCUGAUUAAGUCAGAUCAUCGUUUGAAGAUCUUGUUGGGCCAGGACAGGAGGUCUCCUGGUUGUCGACCAGCUUGGCACUGGUUCCUUCUUCUGUGUGCUAAUCAAAAUCCUUGAAGACAAUAUAAUGGACCAACUUAUGGAAUGCUUUUUAGUUGGAGCACACAUGGGAAACUAGCAUGUCUAUACUGCAUGGAAAACAACAAGGCAUUCACGCUAACAAACGGAGUUGAAAAGGAUGUUGCAUCCCCGCGUCUUUCUAGUGAAGAAUUGCAUGAUGUUGUAUCAGAGUAUGGUGACAUUGUGUUUGGUCUUCAAUCAGGUAAGCAAAAGUUUCCUGGUUUUGGUUUGACCUAUAAUUGGGUAAAACAAAGUAUCUUUUAGGAGCUUCCUUAUUGGAAGACCAAUCUGCUCGACCAUAACCUUGACAUCAUGCACGUUGAAAAGAACUUGUUUGAGAAUAUUUUCAACACCGUCAUGGAUGUGAAGGGGAAGACAAAAGACAACAUCAAGGCUAGAUUGGACAUAGCUUUGUUAUGUAACCGUAAAAAUGCAGAAUUGGUUUGUGAUGAGUCAUGGGUAGCAAAACCAAGAGCAAGCUUCGUGUUAGAGAAAAAUGCACAACUACUAGUUUACAAAUGGCUUAAGAGUCUGCGUUUUCCGGAUGGACAUGCCUCAAACAUAUCAAGGCUGGUUAAUGUGGAGGAAUGCAGAUUGUAUGGAAUGAAGAGUCAUGACUGCCACGUGUUUAUGCAAACACUCAUCCCAUUAGCUUUUCGUGAUUUGUUGCCUAAGGAGAUAUGGGAUGCACUCACGAAGAUCAGUCAUUUCUUUAGAGAUAUAUGUUCCACCAAGUUGAAUGUUGAUCACAUUGAGAGGCUUGAAAUGAAUAUCAUCGAGACACUAUGCAAACUUGAGAUGAUAUUCCCUCCAUCAUUUUUUAACUCAAUAGAGCAUCUCCCCAUACAUCUACCAUUCGAGGCAAAAGUUGGAGGACCGGUCCAGUAUAGAUGGAUGUACCCAUUCAAACGGUUAGAUAUUACAGUUGCAAUGUAAUUCAUAUAUAAAAGUAUUUUCUUUGUUUUUCUUAAUUGAAAAUAUUUGAUUAAUUCAAUGCACAUACUUUUUCAAUCUCAAGAAAAAGGUUAAGAACAAGGCGCAUGUUGAGGCCUCGAUAUGUGAGGCCUAUAUUGUUGAGGAGAUCUCAACAUUUAUCUCGUAUUAUUUCAAACCUCAUCUGAGAUCGAAAAUCUAUCGUAUUCCACGACAUGAUGAUGGUGGUGAAGUGUCUUCCAAUGAAAACUUGUCAAUAUUCUCCAAUCCUGGAUGACCCAUACCUAAAAAUAUUGUAAGAGGAAGAUAUUUGUCAGAAAUAGAGUUUAAACAAGCACACAAUUAUGUUCUAUUUAACUGUGAUGAGCCGAGACCUUUUAUUUAGCAAUAUCGACAAUAUUUGUUAUCCAAUAACUCACAGCUGACCGAAUCCCAGAUCUUUCAAUUACAAGAUGAACAAUUUGCCACGUGGUUCAGAACACAUGUUUAUCAAAUGGGAAGGAGUGUUGCUAAGUCAUUGUCUUCACUAAGCCUGGGCCCUGAAAAAAAAGUUAAGUGCUAUAACGGGUAUUUUGUCAAUGGAUAUGUGUUCCAUACUGAAGAAUACGAGCAUGGAAGAAAGACAUACGACAGCGGUGUUUGUGUUAAGGGAUUGACUAGUAGUGAGUUAGAAGUUGACUACUAUGCUAGAUUAGAAGAGGUCGUCGAACUGCAAUAUCAUAGCGAGCAGAAUAUAGUAUUUUUAUUCAAAUGUUAUUGGUAUGACACGACUGACAGAGGAAUCAGAGUUGAUCCGCAUUAUGGUCUGGUCGAAAUCAACUCAAAAGCUAGACUCCACAACGUAAACGAUGUCUUUGUUUUCGCAAAGCAAUGUCAAUAAGUUUAUUACACAUACACCCUUUCCUUUAGAAAGGAUCGAUCAAGAGUGGAUUGGUUGUCCGUUUUAAAAACGAAACUUAGGGGUUGUGUCUAGCUUGUUCAAGAUGAGAACGAAGACACAAGUGUGCGAGAUGAAGUCAUUCAAGUUAAUGAGUUGGUUGAACCAUGUUGUUACCCAUUUUUGGGUUCCCCAUAAAACAUGAAAAAAAAUAAAAAUGAGAAAAUACAAAAAAAUAUAUCAAAAAAAUAUUCAAAAAAAUCCAAAAAUAAUAGGAGUGAGAAAAGGAUGUUGGAAUGCUGAAAAAGGAUAGAAAUUGAUUGAGGAGAUUCAAAAAUACAAGAAUUGAAAUUUUGACAGUAUAUUUUUUACUGAUGAGAGCCUUGGGGACAAGGAAAAUUCAAUUUCAGAAAGAAAAGUUCAAAAUCAGAUGUUUAUGGACUCAAUUAAAUUUUAUCCAAGGUUUAAUUGAAUUUAUGGAGGGUUUGAUUGCAAGAAAAUUGAUUUUUUAAGUCAAUUUAGGCUUUUAUUGGAAGAAAUUAAAGUUUUGGGGUCCAAUUGUAAUUUUGAAGAGUUGAUUUGGUCAAAUUAGGGGCUUAAUUACAUAAUGAUUGAAGUUUGAUGGUCAAUUAGGAACUUAAUUGAAACAAUCUUAAACCAAUGACCAAACCAAAAAAGCGCUAAGAUCAAGGGACCCAAUUAUAAUUUAUCCGGGGGUUUGAUUACAAGAUUGUAAAAACAUCCAAGGCCCAAAUCAGAGAUAUCAUUUAAAGAUGGCAAACGGUGCCGUUUCACUGAAGCUUUCUUCACCAGCAACGGUUUCAUGCAGCUGGCCCUUCUUCAUUAGUAACGGUUCCAUGCAGCUAGCUGUGAGACAUUACAGCAGCAACAUCGCCAAUUUGUUUUAAUUAUGGGGCAUAUGUCACGGCUGUCAUCCUCUGCAAACGUUAUCAAGCUGGCCGUUACCAGCACAAGGUCUCUGGCCUAUAAAAGCAGGAGAAACAGAGGAGCAAAAGGAGGAGGAGAACGACAGAGGAGAGUAAGAAAACCAGAGGGGAGGGAACGAGACAGAGGAGAAAGAAAACAGAGAAGGUGAAACGUAAAGAGGAGAAAAGCACCGAGACAGAGAGCAGAACAGAGAGGAGAGUAGAAUAGAGGGGGGAGAAAACAGAAAAGACGAGAUAGAGAGGGAAAGAAAAAGAACAGGAGGAAACAAGGGGAGGGGAAAAGAUUAAAAAAAUACAGAAAGGAACAGAGAAAGAAGAAGACGGGAAAGAUAUGAAAACAGGGAGGAGCUUGUUUUAAAACAGGGGUAGAACCGCUGCCAUUCUCAAUCACAACCGCACCAGCACUGCCAACGCCAUCGUCAGCUCAUCAUCUUCUUCAUCCCAGCAGCCACUGCCAUUCUCCAUCAGAACCGUACCAGCACUGCCAAAGCCAUCGUCAGCUCAUCAUCUUCUUCAUCCCAACAGCCACGCCAAGAACCACUGAAAGGGGAAUACAGGAGAGAAAAAACAUAAAGAAAAGGGAAGGGAAAGACGGAGAAUACAGGGGCUUCAUCAUAAAAAAAAACAGAGAAAAACCAGAAGAAAAAAGACCCAGCGUUGAUCGUCUUCAUCGUCCCCAGAACCAGUCACCGCCGAUCCUGCGCAGCAGUUUCAUCGCCAUCGUCUUCAUCUGUUUUAGAUACCAGAGGAGUUGAAUGUUGUUUUGAGCUCUAGCAGACAAGCAAAUGUCGAUGAAGAUGAUGAUAUCCAUAUUGAAGAUUGUAAUGAAGGUGAUGACUAUUCAAUUGAUGAUGAAGCAGAAGAAAAUUCUGACUAAUUGUUAGCCUUGUGUGAAACAUUUUUUUUCAUGUAAUAUAUAUUAUGGAUGAUAUAUUUUGUAACAUGAAAUAUUUAUUUUAUAAGUUUAUGUAUUGUUUAAGCACU